UACGGAGGGGGCUAGCGUUGUUCGGAAUUACUGGGCGUAAAGCGCACGUAGGCGGCUUUGCAAGUCAGAGGUGAAAGCCCGGGGCUCAACCCCGGAAUUGCCUUUAAGACUGCAUCGCUAGAAUCGUGGAGAGGUAAGUGGAAUUCCGAGUGUAGAGGUGAAAUUCGUAGAUAUUCGGAAGAACACCAGUGGCGAAGGCGACUUACUGGACACGUAUUGACGCUGAGGUGCGAAAGCGUGGGGAGCAAACAGG
rnacentral:rRNA from 1 species